UGGCGCCCGAACAGGGACCUGGAAACGAGGGACUCCGUGAGGAAGAGGACGCAAAAGGACGGUCGACCGCUAACGAAGACAAAAGGAGUCAAACUCUUCCGAUCACCGCGGGAACCUGCCGCGUCAGAAUCGAAGGUAAGUGACGCGUCCGAAAUGGGACAAGAAUUAAGCCAACAUCAAAUAUAUGUAGGACAAUUAAAAGAGGCUUUAAAGAUACGAGGAGUAAAGGUUAAAGGUAAUGAUUUGUUUAAAUUUUUUGAUUUUGUAAGACACUUGCCCUU
rfam:Macaca mulatta chromosome 6, whole genome shotgun sequence.